rnacentral:rRNA from 1 species
CCUACGGGUGGCAGCAGUGGGGAAUAUUGGACAAUGGGCGAAAGCCUGAUCCAGCCAUGCCGCGUGUGUGAAGAAGGCCUUCGGGUUGUAAAGCACUUUCAGUGGGGAAGAAAGCCUUGGGGCUAAUACCCUCGAGGAAGGACAUCACCCACAGAAGAAGCACCGGCUAACUCCGUGCCAGCAGCCGCGGUAAUACGGAGGGUGCGAGCGUUAAUCGGAAUUACUGGGCGUAAAGCGCGCGUAGGCGGUCUGAUAAGCCGGUUGUGAAAGCCCCGGGCUCAACCUGGGAACGGCAUCCGGAACUGUCAGGCUGGAGUGCAGGAGAGGAAGGUAGAAUUCCCGGUGUAGCGGUGAAAUGCGUAGAGAUCGGGAGGAAUACCAGUGGCGAAGGCGGCCUUCUGGACUGACACUGACGCUGAGGUGCGAAAGCGUGGGUAGCAAACAGGAUUAGAUACCCUGGUAGUC